rnacentral:rRNA from 1 species
ACAUUCGGCCAAAGGUUACAGAUCACAGAGAAUCCCGUCCGCUCUCCUGUAAUUAAGCUGUAGACCGGCUGGUUAGUAUUAAUAUCGGGGACGAGUUGGGAAAACCAGCAUUUGAAUGUG